UGGGGAAUUUUGGACAAUGGGCGAAAGCCUGAUCCAGCCAUGCCGCGUGCAGGAUGAAGGCCUUCGGGUUGUAAACUGCUUUUGUACGGAACGAAAAGACUCUGGUUAAUACCUGGGGUCCAUGACGGUACCGUAAGAAUAAGCACCGGCUAACUACGUGCCAGCAGCCGCGGUAAUACGUAGGGUGCAAGCGUUAAUCGGAAUUACUGGGCGUAAAGCGUGCGCAGGCGGUUAUAUAAGACAGAUGUGAAAUCCCCGGGCUCAACCUGGGAACUGCAUUUGUGACUGUAUAGCUAGAGUACGGCAGAGGGGGAUGGAAUUUCCGCGUGUAGCAGUGAAAUGCGUAGAUAUGCGGAGGAACACCGGAUGGCGAAGGCAAUCCCCUGGGCCUGUACUGACGCUCAUGCACGAAAAGCGUGGGGGAGCAAAACAGGAUUAGAUACCCUGGUAGUCCACGCCCUAAACGAUGUCAACUGGUUGUUGGGUCUUCACUGACUCAGUAACGAAGCUAACGCGUGAAGUUGACCGCCU
rnacentral:rRNA from 1 species